rnacentral:rRNA from 1 species
GAUGAACGCUGGCGGCGUGCCUAAUACAUGCAAGUCGAACGGACAGAUGAGGAGCUUGCUCCUCUGACGUUAGCGGCGGACGGGGGAGUAACAUGUGGAUAACCCACCUAUAAGACUGGGAUAAGUUCGGGAAACCGGUACUAAUAACGGAUAAUAUAUGCAACAGCAUGGUUCAAUAGUGAAAGACGGUUUGGCUGUCGAUUAUCGAUGAAUCGGCGCGGCAGUAGCUAGUUGGUCAGGUAACGGCUUACCAGGGCAACGAUGCGUAGCCGGCCUGCGAGGGUUAUCGGCCACACUGGAACUGCGACCCGGUCCAGACUCCUACGGGAGGCCGCAGUCGGGCAUCUUGCACAAUGGGCGAAAGCCUGACGGAGCAACGCCGCGUGAGUGAUGAAGGCCUUCGGAUCGUAAACCUCUUUUAGUAGGGAAGAAGAAAUCUAUAAUUAACUAUGUACUUCUUGACGGUACCUAAAGAAAAAGCAACGGCUAACUACGUG